AUUGAACGCUGGCGGCAGGCCUAACACAUGCAAGUCGAGCGAGAGGCGGACGGGUGAGUAAUGUCUGGGAAACUGCCUGAUGGAGGGGGAUAUCUACUGGAAACGGUAGCUCAUACCGCAUACCAUCAGAGGUGCCCAGAUGGGAUUAGCUGGUAGGUGGGGUAACGGCACACCUAGGCGACGAUCCCUAGCUGGUCUGAGAGGAUGACCCGCCACACUGGAACGGAGACACGGUCCAGACUCCUACGGGAGGCAGCAGUGGGGAAUAUUGCACAAUGGGCGCAAGCCUGAUGCAGCCAUGCCGCGUGUGUGAAGAAGGCCUUCGGGUUGUAAAGCACUUUCAGCGAGGAGGCGUUACCCGCAGAAGAAGCACCGGCUAACUCCGUGCCAGCAGCCGCGGUAAUAC
rnacentral:rRNA from 1 species